rnacentral:pre_miRNA from 1 species
UGACUUUUUCCUUAGUCAAACUUCUUCAAAUUUGACCGAGUUUAUAGCAAAAUAUAGUAACAUUUUCAAUACAAAGCAAACAUUGUAUAGAAAUAUAUUCAAUGCUAAAUUAAAUGAAACUAGUUUAGUGUCGUGGAUGUUGCUAAUUUUUUCUAUAAACUUGGUCAAACCCAAACAACUUUGACUAAGAAAAAGUCAAA